UUUUGAACUGUGAGGCAAAGAAAAGUGUUAGUAACUCAGCUAUGUCCGACUCUUUGUGACCCCAUGGACUAUAGCCCUGCCAGGCUCCUCUGUCCAUGGGAUUCUCCAGCAAUAAUACUGGAGUGGGUAGCCAUUCCCUUUUCCAGGGGC